UCACAGCAAUGCAGCUCAGGACCAGCGCUAGGGGUUUUAGCGCCCUAGGCACACAGCAAUUUCACCACCCCGCGCCCUGGUCCCGCAGCUCCGGUGG